rnacentral:rRNA from 1 species
AGCUCCAAUAGCGUAUAUUAAAGUUGUUGCAGUUAAAAAGCUCGUAGUUGGAUUUCUGGCAGAGUGACUCCGGCCAGCAUGCUUGCUUGGUCGGCGCGCCCUACCAUCCUUCGGUAAACCCCUAGGGCUUUCUUUAGUCUUAGGGCGGCUCCGAUAUUUUACCUUGAGAAAAUUAGAGUGUUUCAGGCAGGCUAUAGCCGGAAUACAUUAGCAUGGAAUAAUAGAAAAGGACUACUACCUCUUCUGUUGGUCUGGGAGGCAGCAGUAAUGAUUAAUAGGGAUAGUUGGGGGCAUUAGUACUUAACUGUCAGAGGUGAAAUUCUCCGAUUUGUUAAAGACUAACUUAUGCGAAAGCAUUUGCCAAGGAUGUUUUCA